rnacentral:rRNA from 1 species
GAUGAGCGCUGGCGGCGUGCUUAACACAUGCAAGUCGAACGGAAAGGCCAGUGCUUGCACUGGUACUCGAGUGGCGAACGGGUGAGUAACACGUGGGUGAUCUGCCCUGCACUUCGGGAUAAGCCUGGGAAACUGGGUCUAAUACCGGAUAGGACAAUGGUUUGGAUGCCGUUGUGGAAAGUUUUUUCGGUGUGGGAUGAGCUCGCGGCCUAUCAGCUUGUUGGUGGGGUAAUGGCCUACCAAGGCGUCGACGGGUAGCCGGCCUGAGAGGGUGUACGGCCACAUUGGGACUGAGAUACGGCCCAGACUCCUACGGGAGGCAGCAGUGGGGAAUAUUGCACAAUGGGCGCAAGCCUGAUGCAGCGACGCCGCGUGGGGGAUGACGGCCUUCGGGUUGUAAACUCCUUUCGCUAGGGACGAAGCGUAUUUGUGACGGUACCUGGAGAAGAAGCACCGGCUAACUACGUG